UUUGGUGCAAAUGGCAAGCAGAAAUGAAAGGAAUUUUAUACGACAUGAGCAGCACCGCCUGCGACCCCGAACGGGACAAGCGGUAGAAAAUGGAUGAGUCAAAGAAAAGAAGCGCUUGAUUUGCUCACCCUGACCCACCUGCUGCACAGCACAGUACAGAACAUUCUGUGCAAAUGGCACGCAAAAAUAAAAGGAUUGGCCCUGCGAUGAGGUGGCGACUUGUCCAGGGUGUAUCCAGCCUUCCGCCCAAAUGCAGCUGAGAUAGAAUCCAGCACCCCCCGACGCCCCGAAAGGGACAAGCGGUAGAAAAAUGGAUGGAUGGAUGGAGUCGGAGAAAAGAAGCGCUUGAUCUGCAGCACAGCACAGUACAGACGAGCAUCGCCCCCCCCCCCGCCCGCCAGGUGUGUGAAGACCAGUCUUUUCCACCUGACACCGUGAACUUUGACCCCUGCGGAACACAGUCGCCGAUCGGACCCCAGGGGGCGGGGCUUGUUGACCUGCUGCUGAGGAAGUGACACGUGCAAAAUGGCUGCAAGACUUUUAACGAGUGACCAUCUUCUCCCAGCGGUGUGGAAG